rnacentral:rRNA from 1 species
UACGAAGGGGGCUAGCGUUGUUCGGAAUUACUGGGCGUAAAGCGCGUGUAGGCGGGUUCUUAAGUCAGAGGUGAAAUCCUGGAGCUCAACUCCAGAACUGCCUUUGAUACUGAGAGUCUUGAGUUCGGGAGAGGUGAGUGGAACUGCGAGUGUAGAGGUGAAAUUCGUAGAUAUUCGCAAGAACACCAGUGGCGAAGGCGGCUCACUGGCCCGAUACUGACGCUGAGGCACGAAAGCGUGGGGAGCAAACAGG